UACAGAGGGUGCAAGCGUUAAUCGGAUUUACUGGGCGUAAAGGGCGCGUAGGUGGUAAAGCAAGUAAGAUGUGAAAGCCCUAGGGCUUGAACCUGGGAAGUGCAUCUUAAACUGCUUAACUAGAGUAUGGUAGAGGGUAGUGGAAUUUCCGGUGUAGCGGUGAAAUGCGUAGAGAUCGGAAGGAACGCCAGUGGUGAAGACGACUACCUGGACCAAUACUGACACUGAGGCGCGAGAGCGUGGGGAGCGAACAGG
rnacentral:rRNA from 1 species